CUGUGCCACCCCAGCAUGUAUACACUAAAACUGGAAUGAUACAGAGAAGAUCAGCAUGGACUCUGCACAAGGAUUACACACAAAAUCAUGAAGCUUUGCCAUAUUUA